rnacentral:rRNA from 1 species
UACGAAGGGGGCUAGCGUUGUUCGGAUUUACUGGGCGUAUAGCGCGUGUAGGCGGAUAUGUAAGUUGGGGGUGAAAGCCCAGAGCUCAACUCUGGAAUUGCCUUCAAAACUGCAUGUCUGGACUCAAGGAGAGGCGAGUGGAAUUGCGAGUGUAGAGGUGAAAUUCGUAGAUAUUCGCAGGAACACCAGUGGCGAAGGCGACUCGCUGGACUUGUAGUGACGCUGAGACGCGAAAGCGUGGGGAGCAAACAGG